GUUUUAAUAAUUUAAGUCAAAAUAUUGGUCUUGUAAAUCAAAAAUAAGUUUAAUCUUUUAAAACA
rnacentral:tRNA from 1 species